UACGGGGGGGGCAAGCGUUGUUCGGAAUUACUGGGCGUAAAGGGUUCGUAGGUGGCUUGCUCAGUCAGACGUGAAAUCCCUCAGCUUAACUGGGGAACUGCGUCUGAUACUGGCGAGCUUGAGUGCAGGAGAGGAACGCGGAAUUCCAGGUGUAGCGGUGAAAUGCGUAGAUAUCUGGAGGAACACCGGUGGCGAAGGCGGCGUUCUGGACUGCAACUGACACUGAUGCACGAAAGCCAGGGGAGCAAACGGG
rnacentral:rRNA from 1 species